rnacentral:rRNA from 1 species
GACGAACGCUGGCGGCGUGCUUAACACAUGCAAGUCGAACGGAAAGGCCUCUUUCGGGGGGUACUCGAGUGGCGAACGGGUGAGUAACACGUGAGUAACCUGCCCUUGACUUUGGGAUAACUUCAGGAAACUGGGGCUAAUACCGGAUAGGAGCUCCUGCUGCAUGGUGGGGGUUGGAAAGUUUCGGCGGUUGGGGAUGGACUCGCGGCUUAUCAGCUUGUUGGUGGGGUAGUGGCUUACCAAGGCUUUGACGCGUAGCCGGCCUGAGAGGGUGACCGGCCACAUUGGGACUGAGAUACGGCCCAGACUCCUACGGGAGGCAGCAGUGGGGAAUAUUGCACAAUGGGUGGAAGCCUGAUGCAGCAACGCCGUGUGCGGGAUGACGGCCUUCGGGUUGUAAACCGCUUUCGCUCAUGACGAAGCUUUGUGUGACGGUAGUGGGUAAAGAAGCACCGGCUAACUACGUG